GCCUUUUUCGUCUAAUUUGGUAAGGACCUUGCUUUUUCACAGCAAAAAUGUGGGUUCAAAUCCCAUAAAAGGUA
rnacentral:tRNA from 1 species